rnacentral:tRNA from 1 species
GCCCGAAUGGCUCAGUGGUAAAGCGUCUCACUAGUACUGCGGUCCUCGCCUGCAUUCGCAUCGAGUGGCUGGCCAAGUCCGAAAUGAGAAGAUCGCCAGUUCGAUUCUGGCUUUGGGCA